rnacentral:rRNA from 1 species
AUUGAACGCUGGCGGCAUGCCUUACACAUGCAAGUCGAACGGCAGCAUGGAGGGCUUGCUCUCCGAUGGCGAGUGGCGAACGGGUGAGUAAUGCAUCGGAACGUACCGUGUAAUGGGGGAUAACGUAGCGAAAGUUACGCUAAUACCGCAUACGACCUGAGGGAGAAAGCAGGGGAUCGCAAGACCUUGCGUUAUACGAGCGGCCGAUGUCAGAUUAGCUAGUUGGUGAGGUAAAGGCUCACCAAGGCGACGAUCUGUAGCGGGUCUGAGAGGAUGAUCCGCCACACUGGGACUGAGACACGGCCCAGACUCCUACGGGAGGCAGCAGUGGGGAAUUUUGGACAAUGGGGGCAACCCUGAUCCAGCCAUGCCGCGUGAGUGAAGAAGGCCUUCGGGUUGUAAAGCUCUUUCGGCCGGGAAGAAAUCGCACAGGCUAAUACUCUGUGUGGAUGACGGUACCGGCAUAAGAAGCACCGGCUAACUACGUGCCAGCCGCCGCAGUAA